rnacentral:rRNA from 1 species
UACGUAGGGGCCAAGCGUUGUCCGGAUUUAUUGGGCGUAAAGAGCUCGUAGGCGGUUCGGCAAGUCAGCUGUGAAAUCUCCACGCUCAACGUGGAGGGGUCAGCUGAUACUGCUGUGACUUGAGUCCGGGUGAGGGGAGUGUGGAAAUUCCCGGUGUGAGCGGUGAAAUGCGUAGAGAUCGGGAGGAAGCCGGUGGCGAAGGCGGCAUCCUGGACCGGCAUUGACGCUGAGGCGGCGAAAAGCUAGG